rnacentral:sRNA from 1 species
AAUUAGCCCUGAUUGUAGCGGCACCGAAGUAGAGCGAAAAGCAGGAAAAUGG